rnacentral:rRNA from 1 species
GAUGAACGCUGGCGGCGUGCUUAACACAUGCAAGUCGAACGAUGAAGCCCAGCUUGCUGGGUGGAUUAGUGGCGAACGGGUGAGUAACACGUGAGUAACCUGCCCUUGACUCUGGGAUAAGCCUGGGAAACUGGGUCUAAUACUGGAUAUGACUUCUCAUCGCAUGGUGGGGGGUGGAAAGAUUUAUUGGUCUUGGAUGGACUCGCGGCCUAUCAGCUUGUUGGUGAGGUAAUGGCUCACCAAGGCGACGACGGGUAGCCGGCCUGAGAGGGUGACCGGCCACACUGGGAUUGAGACACGGCCCAGACUCCUACGGGAGGCAGCAGUGGGGAAUAUUGCACAAUGGGCGCAAGCCUGAUGCAGCGACGCCGCGUGAGGGAUGACGGCCUUCGGGUUGUAAACCUCUUUCAGUAGGGAAGAAGCGAGAGUGACGGUACCUGCAGAAGAAGCGCCGGCUAACUACGUG